rnacentral:lncRNA from 1 species
CCCCAGCGCCCACUGGGGAUGGCAAAGACGACAUCCGGUGCGCCGAGGCUGCUCACAAAAUCACUCACCUGUGGCGCCCUUGGCCGCUCAGUCAAGGCUCUGAAUAUCCUGAGACUGCCCCACUGCUUGGAAGCCCCGGACACCAGAGAGUUUCCUGUAGGUCCUCCAGCCGAGCCCGAUGACCCCGGCAGGCCCGGGAGUGAUGUCCCCCUCUGGAUGAUCCCAACCCCUUGCUGUGGAUUCAGCCCCAGCCGUUGUUGUGUCUUUUGGGGACCUUGUCAGUUGCCUUCCAAGUGCUAAUUCUCAUGACGAGAUAAGAAUGGCUAUGACUGGGUGUUGAUUGAUGAGUCGAACACAUUGAAUCCUGGAGUUUGAGGUUAUCAGAACUCCCCACUUAGAAAAUCAUCCUUUAUAUUUUAGAAAAUCAUCAUUGUAUGUUGAACAUACAAUGCUUCUUUUUUCUUCAUCUCCAGUGCACUGGUCUAGAGAGCGGCAGUUGGACCCCAGAGUGUGGCACGUGUUCCUGUGUUCAUUUGAACAUUCUCUGAUGACCUGUCGCUGAGGUCCUGUGAUGAUGCGUAUCCUGUCUUCCACCCCAACUGCCACUGUGUUUCAACUGUCGCUGGCUGUGUUUCAACUGCCGCUGUGUUGGAACUGCCAGCUAGACUGCUCACCAAAAUGGGAGGCAGCCUCUGCUGCUGUGGUGAAGGUGAAGGCUUCUUCUACCGCCAGAAUUGGCGGUUUCUCUCGCUGGAUUCUUGGGACCUGAUCCAGGCAGCACACUCGACACACUCAGCGAUUCAGCUCUACAGUAUGCACUCUGGGAUCUCCCAUUUGCUAAGGAAGGAUCUUAGCUUUGAGAAAGGUGACACUUUCCUCCCUACUUUUGCUGGAGAACUACCCUGGUUUGAGCUUCCUGCUGGAAAUGAGUGGCAAGAGAUCCCCUCUUGAGGAGACUCCGCAGGAACACCAGAGAUGAUAGUGACACACAACAACUGAAGGCAGAGGUACAGGCUGAGGAGAAAGGUGUCAAGCCUGUGGCAGCAGAGCUUCCUGGGGAGUCCUCAGAGCAAGUCAUUGCCAUUGUCGAAGUGUCUUCUAGGCUUUAUUUUGGGGCCAUUACCUCGAGCACUGUUUCUUGUCUGGUUUCCUAAUGUCAGCAACUGAAGAAAAGACCUGUAUACACAGGACACAGCAUGGUCUGACGCUCACAGUGUUUUCCUUUCUCUCUGCAGAGGGAUUCAGCACUUUGGGCAAGUGGUUGCACAGAGGAUCCCGUGGAAGAAUUCAUAUAUGAAUCAGAUGAGAAUGCCCCAGGACCAUCGUAGAUACCAACAAGCCCUCUCCCGGCACCUGCAGAAAAAGUGGGGAAAAUCCCCGAAGAGGCAGAAACAUUCAUCCGGAAGGGCCGCCAGCCAGUGGAUUUCCCGGGCCCCUCAGCCCUCUGGAGUGUACGAGUUUUGGAGAAACCUCUUCCUCUGUAUAUGCUUUUGACUUUCCUGGACUGAUGUAAAAAUACUCUUUUCUUUGACCUGUUUAUUUUUAAGACACGAUGUGAUUGUGUCAGCUUAUAUUUUAUUGCUGAAGUAAAUUUUCAAAUGUUUU